rnacentral:sRNA from 1 species
UUCUAAGAGCAUCUCCAACGGUGU